GGACGAAAGUCUGACGGAGCAACGCCGCGUGAGUGAUGAAGGCUUUCGGGUCGUAAAACUCUGUUGUUAGGGAAGAACAAGUACGAGAGUAACUACUCGUACCUUGACGGUACCUAACCAGAAAGCCACGGCUAACUACGUGCCAGCAGCCGCGGUAAUACGUAGGUGGCAAGCGUUAUCCGGAAUUAUUGGGCGUAAAGCGCGCGCAGGCGGUUUCUUAAGUCUGAUGUGAAAGCCCACGGCUCAACCGUGGAGGGUCAUUGGAAACUGGGGAACUUGAGUGCAGAAGAGAAAAGCGGAAUUCCACGUGUAGCGGUGAAAUGCGUAGAGAUGUGGAGGAACACCAGUGGCGAAGGCGGCUUUUUGGUCUGUAACUGACGCUGAGGCGCGAAAGCGUGGGGAGCAAACAGGAUUAGAUACCCUGGUAGUCCACGCCGUAAACGAUGAGUGCUAAGUGUUAGAGGGUUUCCGCCCUUUAGUGCUGCAGCUAACGCAUUAAGCACUCCGCCUGGGGAGUACGGU
rnacentral:rRNA from 1 species